UACGUAGGGUGCAAGCGUUAAUCGGCAUUCCUGGGCGUAAAGCGUGCGCAGGCUGCUUUGCAAGACAGAUGUGAAAUCCCCGGGCUCAACCUGGGAACUGCAUUUGUGACUGCAUGGCUGGAGUGCGGCAGAGGGGGAUGGAAUUCCGCGUGUAGCAGUGAAAUGCGUAGAUAUGCGGAGGAACACCGAUGGCGAAGGCAAUCCCCUGGGCCUGCACUGACGCUCAUGCACGAAAGCGUGGGGAGCAAACAGG
rnacentral:rRNA from 1 species